UUGGAGGGCAAGUCUGGUGCCAGCAGCCGCGGUAAUUCCAGCUCCAAUAGCGUAUAUUAAAGUUGUUGCAGUUAAAAAGCUCGUAGUUGAAUUUCGGGGUUCUACCGUUGGUCGGGCUAUUGUCUGUACUGGCGUGUAGAAUUUCUACCUUCUGGGGAACUAUCAUGUUAUUAAUUUAGCGUGGUAGGAAACCAGGACCUUUACCUUGAAAAAAUUAGAGUGUUCAAAGCAGGCUUAUGUCUGAAUACAUUAGCAUGGAAUAAUAAAAUAGGACGGUGGUCCUGUUUUGUUGGUUUCUGAAUCACCGUAAUGAUUAAUAGGGAUAGUUGGGGGCAUUAGUAUUCAAUUGUCAGAGGUGAAAUUCUUGGAUUUAUUGAAGACUAACUACUGCGAAAGCAUUUGCCAAGGAUGUUUUCAUUAACCAAGAACGAAAGUUAGGGGAUCGAAGACGAUCAGAUACCGUCGUAGUCUUAACCAUAAACUAUGCCGACUAGGGAUCGGACGAUGUUAACUUUUCUUGACUCGUUCGGCGCCUUACGGGAAA
rnacentral:rRNA from 1 species